rnacentral:rRNA from 1 species
CGGCGUGCUUAACACAUGCAAGUCGAACGGAAAGGCCCUGCUUUUGUGGGGUGCUCGAGUGGCGAACGGGUGAGUAACACGUGAGUAACCUGCCCUUGACUUUGGGAUAACUUCAGGAAACUGGGGCUAAUACCGGAUAGGAGCUCCUGCUGCAUGGUGGGGGUUGGAAAGUUUCGGCGGUUGGGGAUGGACUCGCGGCUUAUCAGCUUGUUGGUGGGGUAGUGGCUUACCAAGGCUUUGACGGGUAGCCGGCCUGAGAGGGUGACCGGCCACAUUGGGACUGAGAUACGGCCCAGACUCCUACGGGAGGCAGCAGUGGGGAAUAUUGCACAAUGGGCGGAAGCCUGAUGCAGCAACGCCGCGUGCGGGAUGACGGCCUUCGGGUUGUAAACCGCUUUCGCCUGUGACGAAGCGUGAGUGACGGUAAUGGGUAAAGAAGCACCGGCUAACUACGUGCCAGCAGCCGCGGUGAUACGUAGGGUGCGAGCGUUGUCCGGAUUUAUUGGGCGUAAAGGGCUCGUAGGUGGUUGAUCGCGUCGGAAGUGUAAUCUUGGGGCUUAACCCUGAGCGUGCUUUCGAUACGGGUUGACUUGAGGAAGGUAGGGGAGAAUGGAAUUCCUGGUGGAGCGGUGGAAUGCGCAGAUAUCAGGAGGAACACCAGUGGCGAAGGCGGUUCUCUGGGCCUUUCCUGACGCUGAGGAGCGAAAGCGUGGGGAGCGAACAGGCUUAGAUACCCUGGUAGUCCACGCUGUAAACGGUGGGUACUAGGUGUGGGGUCCAUUCCACGGGUUCCGUGCCGUAGCUAACGCUUUAAGUACCCCGCCUGGGGAGUACGGCCGCAAGGCUAAAACUCAAAGGAAUUGACGGGGCCCCGCACAAGCGGCGGAGCAUGCGGAUUAAUUCGAUGCAACGCGUAGAACCUUACCUGGGUUUGACAUGGAUCGGGAGUGCUCAGAGAUGGGUGUGCCUCUUUUGGGGUCGGUUCACAGGUGGUGCAUGGCUGUCGUCAGCUCGUGUCGUGAGAUGUUGGGUUAAGUCCCGCAACGAGCGCAACCCUUGUUCACUGUUGCCAGCACGUUAUGGUGGGGACUCAGUGGAGACCGCCGGGGUCAACUCGGAGGAAGGUGGGGAUGACGUCAAGUCAUCAUGCCCCUUAUGUCCAGGGCUUCACGCAUGCUACAAUGGCUGGUACAGAGAGUGGCGAGCCUGUGAGGGUGAGCGAAUCUCGGAAAGCCGGUCUCAGUUCGGAUUGGGGUCUGCAACUCGACCUCAUGAAGUCGGAGUCGCUAGUAAUCGCAGAUCAGCAACGCUGCGGUGAAUACGUUCCCGGGGCUUGUACACACCGCCCGUCAAGUCAUGAAAGUUGGUAACACCCGAAGCCGGUGGCCUAACCGUUGUGGGGGAGCCGUCGAAGGUGGGACUGGUGAU